CCCAUUGUGGUACAACUGACUGAUAAGAAGGAUGUGUGUGACCUUUCUACCAGUAGGAAAUUGUCCUAGAAGCCCCAGGGUCUGCUUAUUCAGUCCUAAGGCACCAGCCUACUUGCAGUCCGUCAGCUGCAGUGGUGCUCACAUCCAAGACCCCCUCCCCCAAGCAGGGCAGCCACCCAGGGACACACAGGGGCACUGCCAGGCCAUCAUUACAGCCAGGCCUGGAGGCAGGCUCCUCACUCAAGAUGCCAAAGCAGCCAGCUGAAAACCGGGAACGUCAGUCAAUCAAACUUCUCUUUGUUCUACGUGAUAUCACCAUGUAGGACAAACAGCCCGUUGGAUUCAUUUUCUUUCUUUCUUUUUUUUGGACCCAAGUAUCUGAAAUUCCACCUCAUGGAAAAAACAGCCGCAUUUCUAGCGCCAGCACUUAGGUGCCAGAUACCGUCUGCCGAUCCCCACUCUGUCACUCGGGAGCCCGUGAUCUUGACCAAGUGAGCCGACCCUCCUCAGCCUCCUGCUGUUUCCUCAUCUGUGAAGUGGGCAGACUGUGGUCCCGAAAGUUCUAAUCGUCCUCACGCCAAGUCCUGUUCUUCCUUGAAGAGGAUUCACCCACACCAAGAAUCUUCUGGCACUCAGUCUGAGGUUUCAGAGCUCCCAGAUGUCUACUAGUGGCCCAGGCUUAUGGCUGGCCGUCGCAGGGCACUACAGAGAGCGAAGCCUGACCACCAACAUUCGGUUAGUCGGUGCCUACUGCAUGCCAGCCUCCUCCAGACAUUCUACGUCCUUUCUCGCACUUCCUCUUCACAAAAUUUCCAUAAAGGAUUCCAUUUUACAGAUGAGGAAAUGAGUUCGAAGGACCUGGGUGGCUUCACUCCAAGGGCUGUCCGUUCUGUGUGCUGACUGACCUCCCAGACGUGGCUCAGGGGACAAAGUCCAAGGGCACAGGUCUCCCCUUGAGCCUCACCCAGUGGUUUCCCACAAAGAGCCCAUGGUGUGCUGCCAGUACAACCCCACCUUCAGGCAGGUGGUCAGCUACUCGGAAGCAUCUAUCUGUUGCUGUGUGAAAUCUCUGGAUCAUCAUCAUGCCGACCGUCACAAUUCAUGACAUCCAAACCACGUUACACUUGAUAUUUGUGGAGGAGAGAAUAUAGUCCAAGAUCUCGAUGAAGCCUGAAUUUACGAAUAUCACGAUACCACACUGUGUUCAUUCAGUUGUAUAAGCAGAGUGCUAGGGACCACCGACCUUGCCUCUGAAAAUCCUUGUAAACUGUAAAAUGAAAAUUAAUAAAUGCUCAAUUAAAUGUUC